UCGUGCCCUAAUCGUCCUUCCUCAACCGACGUGCCGCCGACGCCGGUGUCGUUUCCUCUCUUUCUCUCCGGUACAAAGGCAGUAGCCGAGGGAAGCUUCGAGUCUCUCCUCUCCUCUUCCCCCAUCUAUGCUUCCUGUCCUCUCCACGCAAUCUGCUUUGCACCGAGGUUGUGCCCUAGCCUCUCCCCACACCGCCGAGCCAUCGUCGCCCGAUUCAGCCAUUUUCCUGAGCCCUAGGUUAGGUUCACAACCGACCGUUUCCUCCUCCCUGGGCUCGCGACACCGCCGCCUCUUCUCCCGAUCGCCGGCAUGAAGAGGCGACUAGGGUUCCGAGGAUCUUUGAUUUUCCUUUCCUUGCUGUGAUAGAAGUCUUGAUUGAAGGAGGAAGAUUUUGGAUCGGUUCUUGCUGUUUUCCCCUAAUCAGAGCAUGGAUUUCUUCAUCCUUACGGAGGAAAUUUAGGGCUACUAGUUGGAGGUAAGUGCCUUGGCUAGCUGUGGAUUCGGGUUUGAUACUCUGUUGUGGGUGUGGACUGCCUCCAGGGAUUCGUUGACUAAGAAGAAAGAAAGGUUGAAUUGGAGAAUUGGAUUUGGAGAUCAGCAAUUUUAUCGGGCCGACUACAAUUUUCAGCAGUGGGAUGAUACAAGAGCAAACGACUAUAGGUUGGAAUUUCAGAUGUGAUUGGGGUGUGGAUUGUGGAUGAUUUACAUUGAGGGCAGUAGCUUCAUGGUUGCUCCGACUAGGAUUUUCUGACAACCACUCCUCUGACUGCGAGGACCCUGAUUACGGGACAGUUGUUCUGAUGUGAGGAUUGUUUAUCAUGGACUACAGUUAAAGACGGGUACCUUGACUUAUCUUUUUGAUAUGUCUUGUUGAUAUCUCUAGUAGGUUAUAGCCUUUAGUAAUAAUUAUGUUCGUCCUUGUUUUAGUACGUCACUACCGGAUACUCGUUACAUGUUUGUUUGCUCACUUGAUAUGCAUUUUUAUGCUAGUACCCAC